rnacentral:rRNA from 1 species
GACGAACGCUGGCGGCGUGCUUAACACAUGCAAGUCGAACGGAAAGGCCCCCACUUUUUUGGUGGGGGUGCUCGAGUGGCGAACGGGUGAGUAACACGUGGGUGAUCUGCCCUGUACUUCGGGAUAAGCUUGGGAAACUGGGUCUAAUACCGGAUAGGACCAUGGUUUAGUGUCUCAUGGUGGAAAAAUUAUUGUUUUGGUGCAGGAUGAGCUCGCGGCCUAUCAGCUUGUUGGUGGGGUAAUGGCCUACCAAGGCGUCGACGGGUAGCCGGCCCGAGAGGGUGGACGGCCACAUUGGGACUGAGAUACGGCCCAGACUCCUACGGGAGGCAGCAGUGGGGAAUAUUGCACAAUGGGCGCAAGCCUGAUGCAGCGACGCCGCGUGGGGGAUGACGGCCUUCGGGUCGUAAACUCCUUUCGUUAGGGACGAAGCCGCACCUUUUUUGGGUGUGGUGACGGUACCUUUGUUAAGAAGCACCGGCUAACUACGUG